GACGAACGCUGGCGGCGUGCUUAACACAUGCAAGUCGAACGGAAAGGCCCCCUUGUGGGGUAUCCGAGUGGCGCACGGGUGAGUAACAUGUGAGUAACCUAACCUUGAUUUUGGGAUAACUUCACGACACUGGGGCUAAUCCCGGAUAGGAGAAUCUGCUGCAUGGCGGGGGUUGGAAAGUUUCGGCGGUUGGGGAUGGACUUGUGGCUUAUUAGCUUGUUGGUGGGGUAGUGGCUCACCAAGGCUGUGACGGGUAGCCGACCUGAGAGGGUGCCCGGCCACAUUGGGACUGAGAUACGGCCCAGACGCCUACGGGAGGCAGAAGUGGGGAGUAUGACGCAGUGGGCGGAAGCCUGAUACAGCAACGCCGCGUGCGGAAUAACGGCCUACGGGUUGUAAACCGCUUUCGCCGGUGACGAGGCGUGAGUGACGGUAAUUAGUAAGGAAGCACCGGCUAACUACGUG
rnacentral:rRNA from 1 species